CUCAUUCUCUCUUGCUGCCUUUCGCCCUCCACCAUGAUUGUGAGACCUUCCCCAGCCACAUGGAACUAAGUGCCUUUUGCCCUCCACUAUGAUUGUGAGACCUUCCCCAGCUACAUGGACGGGACUUACAGUAUCAUAAGAAAGAUAGACAUUUAAAUCAUCUCAACAAGGACAAUGGACAUCAUGGAAUCACACAGCAGGAGAACCUCGCCUAGUCUACCGAUCAGAUACUCCAUGCAGUUGUCACCUCCUCUAUGAAGCCUCUCCUGCCCCUUCCAAGUAGAACUGUCCAUUCCAUCUGUGGCAGAGUCUGGCUACAUGUUCAUCAAACCCUGUUUCAAAUAUCCUCCUCUGCAUGUCAUUACACUGUAUCUCCCAGCCCCCUUGCAUCUACAUGAGGCCGCAUGACCACAUGCUGGGUCACUUCUGGGCCAAAAUGGUAUUGGAGAGUCCAUCUUCUCCACUCUGGCUCUCUUUCCAUGCACCAGAUAGGUGAUUUUUAGUGAUCUUUAGUGGAAGAUGAAACAGGUCUGUAUCUCUAAAUGACUUUGUGGAGUGGAGCUUCCCUUCCCAAGCUGACCCACAAUAAACUCUGAUGUGAGCAAGAAA
ensembl:lncRNA novel transcript